rnacentral:rRNA from 1 species
CAGCAGCCGCGGGAAUACAGAGGGUGCGAGCGUUAAUCGGAUUUACUGGGCGUAAAGCGUGCGUAGGCGGCUAAUUGAGUCGGAUGUGAAAUCCCCGAGCUUAACUUGGGAAUUGCAUUCGAUACUGGUUAGCUAGAGUGUGGGAGAGGAUGGUAGAAUUCCAGGUGUAGCGGUGAAAUGCGUAGAGAUCUGGAGGAAUACCGAUGGCGAAGGCAGCCAUCUGGCCUAACACUGACGCUGAGGUACGAAAGCAUGGGGAGCAAACAGGAUUAGAUACCCGCGUAGUCCCUGUCUCUUAUAA